rnacentral:rRNA from 1 species
CCUACGGGCGACAGCAGUGAGGAAUAUUGGUCAAUGGACGAGAGUCUGAACCAGCCAAGUAGCGUGAAGGAUGACUGCCCUAUGGGUUGUAAACUUCUUUUAUAUGGGAAUAAAAUGUUCCACGUGUGGGAUUUUGUAUGUACCAUAUGAAUAAGGAUCGGCUAACUCCGUGCCAGCAGCCGCGGUAAUACGGAGGAUCCGAGCGUUAUCCGGAUUUAUUGGGUUUAAAGGGAGCGUAGGUGGAUUGUUAAGUCAGUUGUGAAAGUUUGCGGCUCAACCGUAAAAUUGCAGUUGAAACUGGCAGUCUUGAGUACAGUAGAGGUGUGCGGAAUUCGUGGUGUAGCGGUGAAAUGCUUAGAUAUCACGAAGAACUCCGAUUGCGAAGGCAGUUCACUGGACUGCAACUGACACUGAGGCUCGAAAGUGUGGGUAUCAAACAGGAUUAGAUACCCGAGUAGUC